UGGGGAAUAUUGGACAAUGGGGGAAACCCUGAUCCAGCGACGCCGCGUGUGUGAAGAAGGCCUGCGGGUUGUAAAGCACUUUCGGUGGGAACGAAAUAUGCCGGGCUAAUACCCCGGUAGGCUGACGUUACUCAAUGAAGAAGCACCGGCUAACUCUGUGCCAGCAGCCGCGGUAAUACAGAGGGUGCGAGCGUUAAUCGGAAUUACUGGGCGUAAAGCGCACGUAGGUGGCGACGUAAGUCGGGUGUGAAAGCCCCGGGCUCAACCUGGGAACUGCAUUCGAGACUGCGUUGCUGGAGUACGGAAGAGGAGGGCGGAAUUCCCGGUGUAGCGGUGAAAUGCGUAGAUAUCGGGAGGAACAUCAGUGGCGAAGGCGGCCCUCUGGUCCAGUACUGACACUCAAGUGCGAAAGCGUGGGGAGCAAACAGGAUUAGAUACCCGCGUAGUCCCUGAGCGGGCUGGCAAGGCGCAU
rnacentral:rRNA from 1 species